rnacentral:lncRNA from 1 species
UGUGGUUUUAUUUUUAUAUCAAGUUAGUAUUAUGUGGUUUUAUUUUUUUCUUAAUGAAAUAUUGAACCACAGGGUAUUAAAGGGAGAAAGUGCGAAGCCACAGGAUACUAAAUUGAGAAAGUGCGAAACCACAAGAUACUAACUUGAUACACUUUAAACCAUAGGGUACUAAAGUGAAAAAGUGCGAAACCACAAGGUAUUAACUUGAUACACUUUAAACCACAGGGUAUUAAAGUGAGAAAGAGUGAAACCACAAGGAGUGUAUUU